GCCCAGCUAGCUCAGUAGGUAGAGCAUGAGACUUUUAAUCUUAGGGCUGUGGGUUCAAGUUCCACAUUGGACA